GGUGAACGCUAGCGGGAGGCCUAACACAUGCAAGCCGAGCGGUAUUGUUUCUUCGGAAAUGAGAGAGCGGCGUACGGGUGCGUAACACGUGUGCAACCUGCCUUUAUCUGGGGGAUAGCCUUUCGAAAGGAAGAUUAAUACUCCAUAAUAUAUUGAACGGCAUCGUUUAAUAUUGAAAGCUCCGGCGGAUAGAGAUGGGCACGCGCAAGAUUAGCUAGUUGGUGAGGUAACGGCUCACCAAGGCGAUGAUCUUUAGGGGGCCUGAGAGGGUGAUCCCCCACACUGGUACUGAGACACGGACCAGACUCCUACGGGAGGCAGCAGUGAGGAAUAUUGGUCAAUGGGUGCAAGCCUGAACCAGCCAUCCCGCGUGAAGGACGACUGCCCUAUGGGUUGUAAACUUCUUUUGUAUAGGGAUAAACCUACCCUCGAGAGGGUAGCUGAAGGUACUAUACGAAUAAGCACCGGCUAACUCCGUG
rnacentral:rRNA from 1 species